CCUACGGGGGGCAGCAGUGGGGAAUAUUGGUCAAUGGUCGCAAGCCUGACCCAGCCACGCCGCGUGAGGGAAGAAGGCUUUCGGGUUGUAAACUUCUUUUCUCAGGGACGAAGCAAGUGACGGUACCUGAGGAAUAAGCCACGGCUAACUACGUGCCAGCAGCCGCGGUAAUACGUAGGUGGCAAGCGUUCUCCGGAUUUACUGGGUGUAAAGGGCGUGUAGGCGGGGACGCAAGUCAGAUGUGAAAACCACGGGCUCAACCUGCGGCCUGCAGUUGAAACUGUGUUUCUUGAGUACUGGAGAGGCAGACGGAAUGCCUAGUGUAGCGGUGAAAUGCGUAGAUAUUAGGAGGAACACCAGUGGCGAAGGCGGUCUGCUGGA
rnacentral:rRNA from 1 species